UACGGAGGGUGCAAGCGUUAUCCGGAUUUACUGGGUUUAAAGGGUGCAUAGGUGGGCCUGUAAGUCAGUGGUGAAAUCUUCAAGCUUAACUUGGAAACUGCCAUUGAUACUAUAGGUCUUGAAUUAUCUGGAGGUAAGCGGAAUAUGUCAUGUAGCGGUGAAAUGCUUAGAGAUGACAUAGAACACCCAUUGCGAAGGCAGCUUACUACGGAUUGAUUGACACUGAGGCACGAAAGCGUGGGGAUCAAACAAG
rnacentral:rRNA from 1 species